CACCUGCACACACAUACAGAUAAAUACAAUUAAAACUAAUAAAAAUAAAUCUUAGACAACCAAAAGAAGAAUGAUGUGGGAAAGGUGUUUGGGUUUUUUUUUUCUAUUUUAUUUUGUGGGUUUUGUUUGUUUGUUGUUUUCUUUCAUUUCAAGUGUUGAGAAGUAGAAUGCACCAGAAGGAAAAGGCCCAGGGAAGGAGAGGAUUUGCUGGUGGACAGUGUUGCGGCCGGAAAACAGCAUGAGUUCCCAGCAACCUUGUGCCUCCUGCCGCUUCUUAUAGAGCCCAGUGAGGGAUCUGAGCACAAAACUAGCCUAGACAGUGCGGUGGGCUCAGGAAAGGAGGGCCCAGGCUGGUGAGAGUCGGCCCAGCCAGAACCCUUUCUCACGGCAGGCCGAGUGCCCCUCCUUGUCCCUCACUCUUGGAAGAACUCUCAGCCCCCAUGUCCAGCUGUGUUUGCUCUACUUUGUUUUUUGCUUCUUCCUCCCGACCCUCACUACAGACCCGCACCACAGACCCGCGCCACCUCUUCUGCUCCCAUCUCUGGUCCCAGCAGCUCCCUUCACCAAUCCUCCAGGGCCUCCUCUUUCCUUGUCCCGUACAUUCCUGGAUAAUGCUCCUGACUCUAGCCAUGGAGGUCCGAUGGCUAGCAUGUCCUGAGCACCCUCUAUUGGAUGACCCACAGGCUCCCCCACUCUGUUGCCCCCCUUCCACCUGCUCACAUACCAGCAACGUUGUCCUCAGCCACCCAUGCCAGAGCCUACUACCUGACCCUGCUAAGUUAUCCAUCCAAAAAGGCCCCUCUUUCUCCACCUCCCAUUCACUCCGUAGAAUCUCAUCUUAAGUAUGGACGUUCUCUUUACAGUUUAGGAUCAGGUCAUCGGGAGGUCUGUGCUGCCCUUUGGAGGCAGGUGAGCCUAGGAAACAGCUUUGUUCCCUGGAAUCCUAUGUGGUUUGGGGCUAUGCACAUUCUCUCCCAUGGUGACGUACUUGGUAGCUGUUCCUUCUGCGCGCCCUAUGCACACAAACCCGCUCUAAGCAAUGUGCCCGGCAACCCUCCCUAGUACAGCCCAGUACACCCAGUCCACAUACUGAGCUAUCGUGGGCCCAUCUCCAAACAAUGAUAUGUCUCCCUGCCCCUGGGAACAAUCAGAUUUAGAUAAUGUUUAUUCAAAUGUAGUCCCAGUGUACCCACGUAUGAAGAACAAAAGGACCAAUCAGGCCUGAACUCACUUUGGGUUCAUAUGCAAUAAGUCAAAACUGUGUCCUGUAGUAACCUUUUAGGAAGACGCCCCUGUUUAUCAUCUUAUGCCUAUGCCUAAUUAUAUAUGCAUGUGAUUGAAACUAGAUGCAUUAUGGGAAAGGACAUGCACAAUUAAGAAAAAUAAAUGCAUACCAGCUGUGAUGGUGUAGACCUUAAUCCCAGCACUUGGCAGGCAAAGGCAGGUGGAUCUCUGAGUCUGAGGCUGGCCUGGUCUAAGUACAGAGUUUGAGAACAGGCAGGGCUACAUAGAGAGACACCUGUCUCAGAAAACAAGAAAGGAAGGAAAGACGGAAGGUGAAUAUAUGACCGUAUCUAUCAAUCAAAGCAGAGAAGAUCCAAAUGAAAGUCCAGAGUCAGUUGGCAUGUCUGAGCAAUUCUUCCCCAGAUAGUGGCAUUAUUUUGGAAGAUUGUGGAUCCUUAGAAGGUAACCAGAGAAGACAGAAGAAGGUGCUGAAUACCCCAGGGCUGGAGGUUCCAGCACUCAUGAGAAGCCUGAUGUGGGCUCUGUUCACCUGUAAGGCUAGCUCCUACUCCACCACUGCAGCCUGAGACGGCUCUUCUUCUUCACCUCGGAACACAAGUUCUUCAUACCUUAAGACCAGAAAAAUAGUACUUCUGAGUAC